UACGUAGGUGGCAAGCGUUGUCCGGAAUUAUUGGGCGUAAAGCGCGCGCAGGUGGUUCCUUAAGUCUGAUGUGAAAGCCCCCGGCUCAACCGGGGAGGGUCAUUGGAAACUGGGGAACUUGAGUGCAGAAGAGGAUAGUGGAAUUCCAAGUGUAGCGGUGAAAUGCGUAGAGAUUUGGAGGAACACCAGUGGCGAAGGCGACUGUCUGGUCUGUAACUGACACUGAGGCGCGAAAGCUAGGGGAUCAAACAGG
rnacentral:rRNA from 1 species